rnacentral:rRNA from 1 species
AUUGAACGCUGGCGGCAUGCCUUACACAUGCAAGUCGAACGGCAGCACGGGAGCUUGCUCCUGGUGGCGAGUGGCGAACGGGUGAGUAAUACAUCGGAACGUACCCAGGAGUGGGGGAUAACGUAGCGAAAGUUACGCUAAUACCGCAUAUUCUGUGAGCAGGAAAGCGGGGGAUCGCAAGACCUCGCGCUCUUGGAGCGGCCGAUGUCGGAUUAGCUAGUUGGUGAGGUAAAAGCUCACCAAGGCGACGAUCCGUAGCAGGUCUGAGAGGAUGAUCUGCCACACUGGGACUGAGACACGGCCCAGACUCCUACGGGAGGCAGCAGUGGGGAAUUUUGGACAAUGGGGGCAACCCUGAUCCAGCCAUGCCGCGUGAGUGAAGAAGGCC